rnacentral:rRNA from 1 species
UACAGAGGGUGCGAGCGUUAAUCGGAAUUACUGGGCGUAAAGCGCGCGUAGGCGGCUUUGCAAGUCGAGUGUGAAAUCCCCAGGCUUAACCUGGGAACUGCAUUCGAGACUGCAUGGCUAGAGUAUGGGAGAGGCAAGGGGAAUUCCACGUGUAGCGGUGAAAUGCGUAGAUAUCGGGAGGAACACCAGUGGCGAAGGCGACUUCCUGGCCUGUUCUUGACGCUGAGGCGCGAAAGCUAGGGGAGCAAACGGG